rnacentral:rRNA from 1 species
UACGUAGGGUGCAAGCGUUAAUCGGAAUUACUGGGCGUAAAGGGCGCGCAGGCGGUCGUUCAAGUCAGGCGUGAAAGCCCCGGGCUCAACCUGGGAACAGCGCUUGAGACUGAGCGACUUGAGUUCGGGAGAGGAGAGCGGAAUUCCCAGUGUAGAGGUGAAAUUCGUAGAUAUUGGGAAGAACACCGGUGGCGAAGGCGGCUCUCUGGACCGACACUGACGCUGAGGCGCGAAAGCGUGGGGAGCAAACAGGG